AUUGAACGCUGGCGGAAUGCUUUACACAUGCAAGUCGAACGGUAGAGGGGGCAGCCCCUCGAGAGUGGCGAACGGGUGAGUAAUAUAUCGGAACGUGCCCAGUCGUGGGGGAUAACGUAGCGAAAGUUACGCUAAUACCGCAUACGAUCUAAGGAUGAAAGCGGGGGAUCGCAAGACCUCGCGCGAUUGGAGCGGCCGAUAUCAGAUUAGGUAGUUGGUGGGGUAAAGGCUCACCAAGCCAACGAUCUGUAGCUGGUCUGAGAGGACGACCAGCCACACCGGAACUGGGACACGGUCCAGACUCCUACGGGAGGCAGCAGUGGGGAAUUUUGGACAAUGGACGCAAGUCUGAUCCAGCCAUUCCGCGUGCAGGAUGAAGGCCCUCGGGUUGUAAACUGCUUUUGUACGGAACGAAAAGGUCUCUCUUAAUACGGGGGGCUCAUGACGGUACCGUAAGAAUAAGCACCGGCUAACUACGUGCCAGCCGCCGCGGUAA
rnacentral:rRNA from 1 species